GGGCUGUUAGCUCAAUGGUAGAGCAGCUGACUCUUAAUCAGUAGGUUCGGGGUUCGAGUCCCUGACAGCCCACCA
rnacentral:tRNA from 7 species